rnacentral:rRNA from 1 species
AGUCAAUAGAUACCCAGGUAGUCCAUGCCGUAAACGAUGAUUGCUAGGUGUGGGGGGUCUGACCCCUUCCGUGCCGGAGUUAAACACAAUAAGCAAUCCACCUGGGGAGUACGGCCGCAAGGUUGAAACUCAAAGGAAUUGACGGGGGCCCGCACAAGCAGUGGAGUAUGUGGUUUAAAUUCGAAGCAACGCGAAGAACCUUACCAGGUCUUGACAUCCACCGAAUCCUGUAGAGAUACGGGAGUGCCCUUCGGGGAACGGUGAGACAGGUGGUGCAUGGUUGUCGUCAGCUCGUGUCGUGAGAUGUUGGGUUAAGUCCCGCAACGAGCGCAACCCUUGUGAAUAGUUGCUACGAAAGAGCACUCUAUUCAGACCGCCGUUGACAAAACGGAGGAAGGUGGGGAUGACGUCAAAUCAUCAUGCCCCUUAUGACCUGGGCUACACACGUACUACAAUGGCCGUUAACAGAGGGAUGCAAUGCCGCGAGGUGGAGCGAACCCCUAAAAACGGUCUCAGUUCAGAUUGCAGGCUGAAACUCG